GAUGUGGCACAGUGGUAGUGCGACUGCUUGCGAUGCAGAAAGUUCCGGAUUCGAAUACCGGUGGAUCA